UACUACUGACUGACCGAUAGUGAACCAGUACCGUGAGGGAAAGGCGAAAAGAACCCCUGUGAGGGGAGUGAAAUAGAACCUGAAACCGUGUACGUACAAGCAGUAGGAGCAGGCUUUGUCCUGUGACUGCGUACCUUUUGUAUAAUGGGUCAGCGACUUAUAUUCAGUGGCAAGGUUAACCAUCUAGGGGAGCCGUAGGGAAACCGAGUCUUAACUGGGCGUUCAGUCUCUG
rnacentral:rRNA from 1 species